AUGGUGUUUUGGAUAUUCCCGGAUUGGAAAAAAUUCACCAAGGAUGUUAAACUGAACGACCCAUACGCUGUUGUAUCAAUAGUGGGCGCCCAGAGUAGUGGAAAGAGUACACUUAUGAAUCAUCUAUUUGGAACCGAUUUUCAAGAGAUGAAUACAAACGGACGAAGGUCACAGACUACCAAUGGUAUAUGGUUGGCGAAGGCCAAAAAUAUUGAACCGUGCACCCUUGUAAUGGAUUUGGAAGGCACAGAUGGAAAAGAGAGAGGGGUGGAUGACACAUCAUUUGAAAAGCAAAGUGCAUUAUUUGCUUUGGCUGUUUCAGAUGUUAUCUUGAUCAAUAUGUGGUGUCAUGACAUUGGCAGAGAACAUGCUGGGAACAGGCCUCUCUUGAAGACCGUUUUCCAGGUCCUCAUGCGGUUGUUCGACCCUCACAAGAAAACAAUGUUAUUUGUUAUUCGCGACAAAACUAAGGUGAGGGCUUGCCAGGAUGCAGUUUACGAGCUAUGA
rnacentral:rRNA from 1 species